rnacentral:rRNA from 1 species
GAUGAACGCUGGCGGCGUGCCUAAUACAUGCAAGUCGAGCGAACAGAUGAGGAGCUUGCUCCUCUGACGUUAGCGGCGGACGGGUGAGUAACACGUGGAUAACCUACCUAUAAGACUGUGAUAACUUCGGGAAACCGGAGCUAAUACCGGAUAAUAUAUUGAACCGCAUGGUUCAAUAGUGAAAUACGGUUUUGCUGUCACUUAUAGAUUGAUCCGCGCCGCAUUAGCUAGUUGGUAAGGUAACGGCUUACCAAGGCAACGAUGCGUAGCCGACCUGAGAGGGUGAUCGGCCACACUGGAACUGAGACACGGUCCAGACUCCUACGGGAGGCAGCAGUAGGGAAUCUUACGCAAUGGGCGAAAGCAUGACGGAGCAACGCCGCGUGAGUGAUGAAGGUCUUCGGAUCGUAAAGCUCUGUUAUUAGGGAAGAACAAAUGUGUAAGUAACUAUGCACGUCUUGACGGUACCUAAUCAGAAAGCCACGGCUAACUACGUG